CUGGGGGAUACAGCAAGCCACUUAGGAGGAUUCCCAGCUUGUGUCAUUGAAUCAUCUUUAAAUUUAUUUUUAUUUUUUUUUAUAUGUCUUAUCAUCUUCCAAAAAGGAUGUUUUGGUGAACUGCAAAGAGAUAUACUCAGAGACAGGAAAAAGAUCUGGUAGGGUGAAGAAUGAAAGAAAAACAGGCAGGCAGAAUAAAGCUGAAAGCUGAGCCUAGUAUCUAAAACGCACACUCCCAGGGCUUGUAUACUCAAUAAAGUUGAGAAGUAACUGGGUUGUCAAUUUAAAGAGGAAUACUUGAUCAGACACACAAUUCUAUGUUGAUAAGAUUAAAAACAAGCUCUAGUCAUCCUUCCGUACCUGUAGGAGAUUGGCUGUAGGACCUUUGUGGAUGCCAAACUCUGCAGAUACUCAAGUCCCUUAUGUAAAAUGGCAUAAGGGACCAUUUGCAUGCAACCUAUGCCCCUCCUCCCAUAUACUUUAAAUAAUCUUUAGAUUACCUAUAAUACCUAAUACAAUAUAAAGGCUAUGGAAAUAGUUGUUAUACUAUAUUUUUUCAUUUGUGUCAUUUUUAUUGUUAUUUUUAAUUUUUUAGAAUAUUUCCAAUCCAUGGUUGGGUGCGGAACCUGCGGAUACAGAGGACUGACUAUAAUAUCAAGGUAAGGACAUGGAUUCUGGACCCAGACUGCAUACAUUCAACUUGGCUUCACUUUUACAAACUGUAGGACCUUGAGCAAAUCACCACAUGCUUCUGUCUUGUUACCUAUAACAGGAUAAUAUCACUACCUACAAUACCACACAAGUCUAUUGUGAGGAUUAGAUAAAUUGGUGCACAUAAAGUUCUUAGGAGAGUAUACAGUAGUUACUUGUAAGCACUAUAUAAACAUUUGCCAAAUAAGCAGAAAAAGUUCUCAGAGAAAACAGUUUUUACCAGCAGUUUUUCUCACUAAUAGAUGUGGAAUUGAAUUACCUAGAUUGAAAACUCAGAGGAAACUUGACAUUCAUCAAUUCUAAUCUGUUUGUGUUACAGUGCAGGAAACUGCAGCCAGACACUGAAAGUCUAGGGGCCAAGCUCACAUAUUAGUUGAGGAUCCACAAGUUAGUUGAGGAUCCUGGUCCCCUGGUUCUUUUCUGCUGCUCUUGCCAAUAUCUCGGCCUGGAGCUGGCCUGUGGAGGGGUGCAGAGAAGCAGCCUAUUGUCUCUCCUUCCCAGAGUGUCCACAGGUUCCAAAAUUCUACCUUCUCCCAACUGUUCUAUAACACCCCAAACUCUCAUUUCUUCCUAAAGGACAGAGAGCAAAGAAUAAAUCAGGUGUGAAUGACCCCUAAACUCAAACCCUCAAGGAAUAUGCAAACACAUAGUAGAGUUCCUUUAAAUAUAGUAAAUCUUCAACUUUGAGGAAGAGGGCGAAUGGGUAGGUGGGAGGCAAAGGUUUUAAAUUUAGAAAUUAAAAUUGAAUUGUCUAAACUGGCAAAAGUCUCACCACUUUCCAGUUGUGAGACUGCACACAAAGUUACUUGAGAGUCUCCAAGCCUCAUUUUUCUCUUCUGUAAUGUCAAAACAGAGAUCAUAAGGCUGUCGGAAUGGACUCUUUGUGGCAAUAAGAUACCAUAUUAUAAACAGGACCCAAGGUCAUGCCAGGAGGCUCGUGUGGUCCCUGUUUGUCAUCCAGUCAAUACGGCCAUCAGCUUCUGGCCCCAGACACCUUUCCUCUGCACUGUGGCACAGAGGAGCAGACUGCUUUGGAGGGCAGCUUCCUGGGAGCUCCAGGGACCCUGGCCAGGCGGCCACUGCCACUGACUUCCUCGGCUCACUGAGCCCGUGCCUGCAGCUCUCGUGUUUCCUCUGUGCUGCAGUGGACGCUUAUCUUCCCCCGAUGGCACAUUUCUUUGUCACAGACAGGACCCUCACUGGCAGUCGGAGGACAUCAAGCCCUAGUACAGGAAGGGACAUUUUCACACUAAUCUGUGCCAGCUGGAGCAGUCCUGCCAUCUGAACAUCAUAUUUUGGAACCCUGAGAAGCUAGGAUGCAGUUAACAGCUAGAUGUCAAUUCCCUGCAGGCAGAGACCAGUUCUCUGCUGCCAUGUCUUUAAGGCCUGAUGCACCAUAGAUUAAUUCAAAUCCAGUGUCUACCACUCACUCGGCUUAAUGUAAGACAAGAUGAAGACUCCAGACUUCAGAACUUCAGUGUCCAGGGAAGGGGCUGAAAUACCAGACUGCGAUGUACCAUCUCUUGGUUGCUAUGACUGAGGCCAUUAAAAUGGCAGGCAUUAAAAGACUGCACCUCAGUACCCAGCUACAAAGCCUCAAGGUCACUGCAUUCCACAGCUUCCCGUCGCCUUUCAUUCCUGGCCUCAGAGCUUCAAUAUCCUGGCGAGAUCCCCUCGCAUUAUAUUUCAUGAGGCUUAAAUGCAAGCUCUCCCACAGCAAGCCCGAGAGUAUAAUGGGGGUUUUAAUACAUUCCUUUUACCUAAGGCUGGGAUCCAUUUCAAAAAGUUACCCAAUAGGUUUCCUUUCAGGUGAGCUCAUUGCUCUGACAUUCCAAAAUGACAUUAAAAAAUAAAUCCUCUGAUGACUAUAUUAAUACAGUACCUGGGACACUGAGAGUUAUGCCGGAAAACGUCUUAGAUGUCUAUAAAUAAAUCUUAGAAAAAAAACCCAGCAGGAGGAAUGUGAGGAGCUAAUGGAAUUCAAAAGGCCUCAUUGCUACCCCCUUAGAGUUGAAAUCCACUCCGGGCCGACUGUCGCAGCAGAUAUAAAAAGCCAGCCACAGGCUGAAGCUGUAUUAGAAAAUACUGAGGCAAUAGAAUAUUAAUCUUUUUCUCCAAAGAAAAGCCACGGACUAUGCUCCUUGGAAGAUGGCUUCCUUUGCUAUAAGAAGUACACUAAUUAAACAUGUACAAGGUUAAAUCCUGGCAACAUGCAGCUGCUUCAGGGAUCAGUCCUUCUUGACUUCAGGUGGGAGGCAUUCCCCGCAGAGGCAAGAUAUACAUGAGGCAGUGUGGGGAGAAUGACGUCAGCCUCCCAAACUGGCACAAGGACCUGUGUGUGGCCUUAGGAUCAAAAGCGUCCUUCUUUCUGCUUUCCUAAAAACAUAUCUUGAAAUUGCCUUUUAUGCCUCAACCCAUCUUCCUUGAGAUGCCGUUUCUCCAAGGAAGUGCUCUGUGCCCUCUCAGCCUUGCAGGUCUGGCUGUGUCAAGUGCCACUGUGCACUACUGAGGGACUGGAGGAACUGAAAAGCAUUUUGGUCAUAGGAGGGAAUAGCCACGGGAGAAGUCAGGCCUCAGACACUCUUGUUUGAAUAUGGAUGUUUGAGCCUUAGCUGGUAGAAUAAAACACUCUUUCAGAGUUUGAAAUAGUUUUACUGCAAAUGGAGUGGAAAGCGAAGUUUCCAAGGUUUUAUAAACAACCUGAUAUAAACACAGCAGUGUUGUAGGUCAAAGCAGAUGUGGUGAACAGAACUUACAAAGACAUAUAUGUGUAUCAGUUUAUUUUUUCCACGUUCAUUUCAACCUCAGCAGAGCUAGCAACACUAACACUCCCCAGUGGCAGAGCCAACAACAGGGCUCUAGAGGCUCCAAACUUGGGGUCCUCUUGGGUGUCCUUGGAUAGAAUUCAAGGGGUCCAUAAACUAGAAUAGAAAAAAUUAUAUAUUUUCACUAGUCUCUAGCUGAAAGAUAAUGUUUACUUCAAUUAUGGAUGUAGAAAAAUCCCUAUAGUGUUAGUACUACUGUGAUUUUCUCAAUAGAAAUCAUGAUAUUUUCACAUCAAUUACAGUUGUAGAUAUAAAUCUGUAAUAUACCUGUAGCAUCUGUUUCACUGUAAAUAUAUAUUACAUAUAAUAUAUAGAGAUGAUUCCCCUUGAAAUUCGAAGUAUUUUAUUUUACUUAUUUGAAACCAUUCUAAGAGGAGACUCGUAGCCUUCUUCAGGUUGCUAAAGGGGUCCAUAUACAAAAAUGGUUAGGAGUCCCUGUACUAGGGAAACUUCCCAGCAGAAUGGAGCAAGUCGUGUCCUAAGACACUAUCUACACUACUGAAAUCCUCCAUUUUGGCUAAAUGACAAAGCACUGGCAAAAGAGUCAGAAGGACUGCGUUCUGAUCUCUAACUUAUUGCAUGUCCUUUGGCAAGAAAGACAUUCAAGCUUCUUGCUAUUCAUAAGAACACAGCUACUCAUGCUUACAAUGUGCCAGGUGCUCUGCUAACUACAUUUGGUUGCCACAAUGAUGGUUCAGUCAACAACAGACCACAUGUAUGACAGUGGUCCUGUAAGAUUAUAAUAUCAUAUUUUUACUGUAUUUUUCUAUGUUUAGAUAUGUUUGAAAUACACAAAUACUUACCAUUGUGUUACAAUUGCCUACAGUAGUCAGUAGAGGAACAUGCUGUACAGGUUUGUAGCCUAGGAGCAAUAGGUUACACCAUAUGGCCUAGGUAUGUAGUAAGCUAUACCAUCUAGGUUUGUGUAAGUACACUCUAUGAUGUUCCCUUAAUGAGGAACUCACAUAAUGAUGCGUUUCUCAGAAUGCAUCCCUCUUUGUAAAUAUUACUUCCUGUAGUCAUUACAGCAACCUUCUGUGGUUCUAUUGUAAUAUUUAUUUUGCAGAUAAGAAAAUUAAACCUUAGAACUGUUAAGUAAUCCAUCCACAGUCCUAUCCAGCUAGGAAGCAACAUAAAUGAAAACUUUCUCCAAAGCUAUUAGAUAUCAUAGUCUAGCAAGCUAGGAUAACAAUUCCUGCCCUACUUACCUCGUAGGAUUUUUGUGAUGCUCAAAUGAAUAAUAGAUACAUUAGAUUUAAACAGUACUUCCCACCCUUCAAAACAAGUUAUGAAUAUUUUAAAAUGAUUGUUAUUGAGAUUUUCAAGUAUAGCAAAAUGUUGAGUUUUGGAAAUAACCAGUGAAAAGACAAGAUGCUAUCAAAGAGACUUUUGAAUUACAUUUCAUAUUUAAGUGGCAAUAUAAUUAUUACAAGGAAUAGCUGAUGGACUGUAUAAGGAUCUAUGUUAAUGCUAGAUAAAAAUGGAAUCAAAUUUAUGCUUGUUAGUGUUGUGCUACACGGCUUGAUAAGUUUUUCUCAUAAGUAAAUAAAAUAUGUGCCCUUCAAUCUGGCUGUAGGCUUUUAAUUUAUUUGGAAACUUUUAUCUCCUACAAGGUUUUACGGAAAGAGAAAAUUUAGUCCAUUUGGCCAGGUGAUAUCAAGACCCAGAAAAAUAUGGCUUGACCAGCUGUCCAGAAUUAUGGCCUCUCUCCUCCUUUCCUCAGUGGCUCUAUUGAAUUUCUGUGCAGGGUAGAGGGAUCUCUGCAGAGACAUUCUCACCUUGACAUCUCAGGGUCCACUUACCUGACUAACGAUGAAGAAGAUGACAGUCAUGGCAGCGCAGGCCAAGGUGAUAAGCAUGAGGAACUUGAACCUAAAAAUUA
rnacentral:lncRNA from 10 species